ensembl:snoRNA
CAGUGAAAUGAUGGCAAUCACCUUUCAGGACUGACUGACCUAAAAUGAAGAGAAUACUCAUUGCUCAUCACUU